GCGGUUGUGGCUCAGUUGGUAGAGCGCCACCUUGCCAAGGUGGAGGUCGCCGGUUCGAACCCGGUCAACCGCUC
rnacentral:tRNA from 1 species